rnacentral:rRNA from 1 species
UCAUUAUUGAAUAUCUUGAUGGGUUGUAGCUGGCUCUCCGGGGCAUGUGCACACUUGUCUUGACUUUAUUCAUCCACCUGUGCACCUUUUGUAGUCUUGGGGGUUGAGAGCAGUCGACUAUCGGAUGGCUAUGGCCAUUCCGGACGUGAGGAAUGCUGAGUGCAAAAGCAUACAGCUCUUCUCAAAUGACUUGCUAAACCUCUCCCUCAAGUACUAUGUAUUCAUAUACCACAUAGCAUGUCGUAGAAUGUGAUCAAUGGAAUAAUCAUAUACAACUUUCAGCAACGGAUCUCUUGGCUCUCGCAUCGAUGAAGAACGCAGCGAAAUGCGAUAAGUAAUGUGAAUUGCAGAAUUCAGUGAAUCAUCGAAUCUUUGAACGCACCUUGCGCUCCUUGGUAUUCCGAGGAGCAUGCCUGUUUGAGUGUCAUUAAAUUCUCAACCCCUCCAGCUUUUGCGAGUUGUGAUGGGGCUUGGAUAUGGGAGUUUGCGGGUCUUUGUCAAUAAAGGUCAGCUCUCCUGAAAUGCAUUAGCGGAACCGUUUGCAGUCCCGUCACUAGUGUGAUAAUUAUCUACACUGUGAUGAUUGCUCUCUGACUAGUUCAGCUGCUAAUCGUCCAUUACGGACAACACUUAAUGAACUUCUUGACCUCAAAUCAGGUAGGACUACCCGCUGAACUUAAGCAUA